rnacentral:lncRNA from 1 species
GUUGUGGGCCUCCUUUAGGCAUCUCCUUUACUGGUGUGAGGCAUCACACUAGAGGUUGUCUUCCCUCCCUUGGUGGCCUUAUGAAGGUACUUCAAUCUGAGGCUUUAUCCCACUUUUCUAUGAAGCUUGGCAUGCGUGCGAAGUAGAGGGCAUGUAGAUUCAGGCCUGCGUAAGGGUUGUGAUCCAAAUUCUUGAGGAUUUGAUGUCUAUUCUACUAUGAAUCAUAUAAAGAUCUAAUCAUUAAUUAGUUAAUAUAAAAAAUUUUAGAU